rnacentral:misc_RNA from 1 species
GUGAAUCAUCAAAUUUUUGAACGCAAAUUGCGCUUCCUGGCAUUCCGGGAAGUAUGCCUGUUUGAGGGUCAGUAUUAACAAAAAAUCGGGUUGGUUGCAAAUUGUGACGUUUCCGGCCUGUGGUCUAUCUUAACUCUUUUGGUUAAGGGGCUUAAAAUUGACCUUUUUUGCUCUUUUUUAGAUUUACAUAAUUUUUUUUUUUAUUGGUCUAUCUUAAACUACAA